GAUCUAAUAAUUUAAAAGAUUUAAGAAUCAGUUUAGAGAAGAGAUGAUAAAAGAUCAACUAGUAAACUAUAAUCCUCCCACUGACUUCAUUAAGUCAUUGAAUUGGAUCAGGAUCAUACUAGUUGAAAUGGCACCUAGAUCAGUCACACUGAUCAACCCUAAUGGCAUGGGUCAACUAGAAUUACUUAGCGAUCUAAUCAAGACAUAAUUCAUCAAAUUGGCC
rnacentral:lncRNA from 1 species